GGGGGCCUGAGCCACCAGUGAGAUACCACUCUGGAAGAUCUAGAAUUCUAACCUUGUGUCAGGACCUACGGGCCAAGGGACAGUCUCAGGUAGACAGUUUCUAUGGGGUGUAGGCCUCCCAAAAGGUAACAGAGGCGUGCAAAGGUUUCCUCGGGCCAAAUGGAAAUCGGCCCUCGAGUGCAAAGGUAGAAGGGAGCUUGACUGCAAGACCCACCCGUCGAGAAGGGAUGAAAUUCGGCCUUAGUGAUCCGACGGUGCCGAGUGGAAGGUUCGUCUCUCAACGGAUAAAAUUUACUCUAGGGAUAACAGGUUGAUCUUCCCCAAGAGUUCACAUCAACAAGAAGGUUUGGCACCUCGAUGUCGGCUCUUCGCCACCUGGGGUGGUAGUACUUUCCAAGGGUUGGGCUAUUCUCCCAUUAAAGUGGUACGUGAUCUAGGUUCAAAACGUCGUGAGACAGUUCGGUCCAUAUCCGGUGCGGGAGUUAGAGCAUUGAGAGGACCUUUCCCUAGUACGAGAGGACCAGGAAGGAUGCACCUCUGGUGUACCAGUUAUCAUGCCCACGGUAGACGCUGGGUAGCCAAGUGCAGAGAGGAUAACUACUGAAAGCAUAUAAGUAGGAAGCCCACCCCAAGAUGAGUGCUCUCCUAUUCUUACUUCCCUGAGAGCCCUAGUCGCGAACACGGCUGGGACAACAAUGGGUUCUCUGUCCUUGCAAGGGAUGGAGCGACAAAAGUAUUGAGAAUCCAAGAUAAGGUCACGGCGAGACGAGCCAUUUAUCGUUACGAUAGGUGUCAAGUGGAAGUGCAGUGAUGUAUGUAGCCGAGGCAUCAUUAUGAUAAAAUCUUAAUGCC
rnacentral:ncRNA from 1 species